UACGUAGGGGGCUAGCGUUGUCCGGAUUUAUUGGGCGUAAAGGGCGCGUAGGCGGCUUUGCAAGUGACGGGUGAAAGCCCUCGGCUUAACCGAGGAACUGCCUGUCAGACUGUAAGGCUUGAGACCGGGAGAGGUGAGUGGAAUUCCCAGUGUAGCGGUGAAAUGCGCAGAUAUCAGGAGGAACACCGGUGGCGAAGGCGGGUCUCUGGGCCGAUACUGACGCUGAGGAGCGAAAGCGUGGGGAGCGAACAGG
rnacentral:rRNA from 1 species